rnacentral:rRNA from 1 species
UACGGAGGGUGCAAGCGUUAUCCGGAUUCACUGGGUUUAAAGGGAGCGUAGGAGGGCAGGUAAGUCAGUGGUGAAAUCUUCGAGCUUAACUCGGAAACUGCCGUUGAUACUAUUUGUCUUGAAUACCGUGGAGAUGAGCGGAAUAUGUCAUGUAGCGGUGAAAUGCUUAGGUAUGACAUAGAACACCAAUUGCGAAGGCAGCUCGUUACACGAAUAUUGACUCUGAGGCUCGAAAGCGUGGGGAUCAAACAGG